UGUUGGGUCAUUUUUUGAGUAACCCAAACGCUGGGUUAGCAGUCGGGUCCAAUUGAGUGACAGUUGAGAGAGUAAACCCCUCCCACUCAUCGACGCAUCAGACAAACUUUACCUUCGCGGGCAUUUUGAUCCACCUCAUCUCGAAAAGUUGUUAUUCGGAGAAGAAAAGGUAUGUUUACAAGUUUUUAAUGUAUAAAACUAUUACUGCACAAAAAAAAUGCAAAAGUAUGCAAAAUUCGGCUGUUCGCAUUAGGUUUGAAAGUAACGUUACAAUCUAGCUUCGUUAGCUUUGUAUAGCUAGUCUGUAACGUUAUGCCCACGUUGUUCUAACUUACAGCUUUUUAAUCAUUUAAACUUCAUUUUUGGUCAACAUUUCCCUUUGAAAUUCCUGACUCGUGUGAGUCAUUUAGUUCAGUAACUUACGCAACUUGAUAUUAGUUUAAGGUCGACACGAGAGCGUCGUGUAAAAAGCAAACAUCCAGCAAUUUUUUUUAUUUUAAAUACCGCUAAUGUUCGGUGAGGGAACUUAGAUUAAAUAGUCUUUUAGACGAGAAUGUUGUUGUUAAGAACACAAAUACGUGAUUUAUAUAUAAACAUAACGCCUCUUUGAGAUUUUGUUAAGACGCUGUCGGAGGUGUGAGCUUCAGGCUGUCAGCGGUCGUGGCUCCGUGGAGAGCAGCUCUAUCUCGGCCAUUGCCUCGGGAGUAGCCGCUCUUAUAACGUUAGUGGUUAACAAUGCGAUAUAAUUAAUUUUGGGUAUAUGAGACGAACAAUUAUUGCUCUUUUUAGACUUCUACUUAUUCCCGAGUGUGUCGAAUUAGUUAAGAGUAACUUGUGUUAACGUUUAUAUUAUUUUUUAAGACUGUAUUUCACUUUCUGUACUAUAUCCCACUCAUCUUUUUCCCACACUGACAGGUUGCAGAAUAACAGCUAAUAUUAAUGGAUCAUUCCAGUCAAGAGAAAGUCAACUGAAACGUGGAUGUUUUCAUAACAGGCUUAAAGAUGAACAAAUUGAUAAAGAAACCCUCCUGCUGGACAUCCACUUCCAAAAGUGCACGCCACACUGUUGUCUACAAACUCCCAGGAAAAGAAUCCUCUUUAGUAAGACGGCUCCGUGGAUAUGUCAGGUUAAGCAGUACUGAAACCGAAAGAACUAACACUCUUUAAAAUGUUUUGUGAGUUUAUAUGAAGAGGAAAGUUACGGUGUCCCUUUUUCACAUCCAUAACGCUUGUUUAUUUCUUUUUUUAUAGAAAACUUAUGCAUAGACUGAUAUUUUAUCAUAUAAAUGCGGUUCUAUCAACAAGGGUUUAGUAAAAUACUUUUUAUAGUGUUUUUAUGUCGCAUCCAUAACGCUGGACUUGCCCUAAAGCAUUUUACUCAUGCCACUUUGUUAACUGUAUAUGAAUUUUUGAAGUGUUAAGUUGUCUAACUAUUUAUAUUUACUUGUGCCACUUUAAUAACCUUGUUAAAUGUAUAUGUUUAAAUCUAAACUAAUGUAAUUUAUUGAAGUUAAUUUUCCUUAAAUAUGUAUAAACAUACAUUUCAUCAAAGUGUUUUAUAUGCCAUUUUAUUGUUCAUUGAGCAUAACAUAUUGCAUGUUUUUAUGAAUUCCUUUUGUCUUGCAUUUUGAUCCUUAAUAAAACUUUUGAUUCUUA